UACGGAGGGAGCUAGCGUUGUUCGGAAUUACUGGGCGUAAAGCGCGUGUAGGCGGUUAUGCAAGUCGGGGUGUGAAAGCCCCGGGCUCAACCCGGGAAGUGCAUUCGAUACUGCGUAGCUAGAGUACUGGAGAGGAUGGUGGAACUCUCGGUGUAGAGGUGAAAUUCGUAGAUAUCGAGAAGAACACCGGUGGCGAAGGCGGCCAUCUGGACAGAUACUGACACUGAGACGCGAAAAGCGUGGGGAGCAAACAGG
rnacentral:rRNA from 1 species